GCCAUCUCUCCAGCCUUGCCUUUGCCCCAAGUCUCUGCACUCCAGCUCAGUUUUCAGUUCCAACAACUAGCUGUGCACCUUCAUCACUCAGGGUCUAGAGACUCAUUGCUCCAACAUGGAAGCUCCUUUUCUCCCAACACCAUCCUCCUGUAGUCUCAUCAAUUUCCACUUACCCUUUCUGUCUUGGUUGACAUGCAAUGUUUAUAUCCUUUUAACAUCCCUUUUGUUCAGUUCCAUGUUCCCAUUAGUCACAGUUAUCCAGUAUUCCUUGAUUGCCUUUUAUAUACUAAUUACUGAGGACGAAGAUAAUGGAAUGUUCUUAGUUCCUGCUUUCAGCAGCCUCCAAUCUAGUAGGGAAAGAAAGGCAUUUAUUUGUCUUCUUUGCUGGAUAUAAACUCCCUGUGGACAGUUGCCAGAGUCAUCAAGGAUUGAGUGGCAGAGCACCAAGAGAUGGUAGCAGGGAAGAGCAUGAGAGAAAUGCUGGAGGACAUCCAUGCAAGGGAGGAAAGGCUUUGAGCUGGCAAGAAACCUGAUCCACAUCUACCUUGGCAGCUCUAAUCACUGCCCAGUGUUGACACAAAAGGGAACUCCAUACAUCUUGAGGCAUUUGUAAUUCACGUGUUUCCAUAUGCAUUGCUAUAGAUUAAUUAGCACUGGUGACCCGUAUUUUGCUAGCUAGUGUAUUGAGACAGGACCUAAGCCUCCUCCAAAUUCCUUCCCAAGU
rnacentral:lncRNA from 1 species